rnacentral:rRNA from 1 species
GUCUACGGCCAUACCACCCUGAACACGCCCGAUCUCGUCUGAUCUCGGAAGCUAAGCAGGGUUGGGCCUGGUUAGUACUUGGAAGGACUCUUUUUUUUAAAGAGAGUUUUCUUACCAUGGAGU